AACGAACGUUCGCGGCGCGCCUAACACAUGCAAGUCGAGCGAGAAAGGGCUUCGGCCCCGGUACAGCGGCGCACGGGUGAGUAGCACGUAGGCAAUCUGCCCCUGAGUGGGGGAUAACCUUCCGAAAGGAGGGCUAAUACCGCAUGAGACCACGACCUCGCGAGGGGAUGGGGUCAAAGCCGGCAACUUCUUGAAAGCUUGCGCUUGGGGAUGAGCCUGCGGCCCAUCAGCUAGUUGGUAGGGUAAUGGCCUACCAAGGCGAAGACGGGUAGCUGGUCUGAGAGGAUGAUCAGCCACACUGGAACUGAGACACGGUCCAGACUCCUACGGGAGGCAGCAGUGGGGAAUAUUGCGCAAUGGGCGGAAGCCUGACGCAGCAACGCCGCGUGGGUGAUGAAGGCCUUCGGGUCGUAAAGCCCUGUCAGAUGGGAAGAAACCUGCGCAAGCAGCUGACGGUACCAUCAAAGGAAGCACCGGCUAACUCCGUGCCAGCCGCCGCCGUAAUAC
rnacentral:rRNA from 1 species